CAAAGAGAAGAGAGAGAGGGAAAGCUCGGAAUGCUAGAGAGGUUUUAUUCACGUGUCUUUCCAGAGAACCACAGAACACACUCCGAUAUAUUUCAACAUCUGCAUCGCUAUCAAGACCACUUCUCAUCAAAUGAUUCUCUCAUCUCCAGAGGACCUGUAUGCCUUGUCAGCUUUGGACUGCAUGGACCCAACCUUCCAGUCCACUGAACCUCCUUCCUGUACCCUCAUGGCCCCAUUUUGGGACAGCUCUAUGACCUUGUUCAGCCAGAAGUAGUUACAGAAGUUGCAGGUCCUUCUAGUUGUGGGAUGUGGGACGCCGCCUCAACGUGGCCUGACGUGUGGUGCCAUGUCCGCACCCAGGAUCCGAUCCCUGGGCCGCUGCAGUGGAGCACGCAAACUUAACCACUCGGCCACGGAGCCGGCCGCCUUUUGAUGGCUUUUUUACAUGAUCUUUCCUUUGUCUUGUAAAGAAAUAACUCACAUACCUGUGCCUUAUAAAUUUAGCCCUAC
rnacentral:lncRNA from 1 species